rnacentral:misc_RNA from 1 species
UACGUAGGAGGCGAGCGUUGUCCGGAUUUAUUGGGCGUAAAGGGCGUGUAGGCGGCUCGGAAAGUCUUUGGUGAAAUCUCCUGGCUCAACUGGGAGCGGUCCAGGGAUACUUCCGGGCUAGAGGACAGUAGAGGAGAGUGGAAUUCCCGGUGUAGUGGUGAAAUGCGUAGAUAUCGGGAGGAACACCUGUGGCGAAGGCGGCUCUCUGGGCUGUACCUGACGCUGAGGCGCGAAAGCGUGGGGAGCAAACCGG